UGGUGAAUAGGCACCAAGAGAAGUUC
rnacentral:piRNA from 1 species